UAGUUUCCGUAACAGCUCACAUAAUACUGUGGAUAGAACACACAAAGCCACACACGAUGAUGCAACUAAAUUGGAUGGGAACCGAAUUAUUGCCGAUGAGCGAAUGCAAGAAAUGGAGGAGAGAAAAUCAGCAGAAAGUAAGCAAAAUUGAUCAAUAUCGAAUUGUUCAAGUAAAUUUUAAUAAACCUAGUCUUAAUAUAUUUUUAGAAGAA